UACGUAGGGGGCGAACGUUAUCCGGAAUUACUGGGCGUAAAGCGCACGCAGGCGGUUCGCCAAGUUUGGAGUGACAGUUGUCGGCUCAACCGACAAAGGACUUCAAAACUGGUGAACUUGAGGACGAGAGAGGAACAUGGAACUCCAGGUGUAGUAGUGAAAUGCGUAGAUAUCUGGAAGAACACCAAUGGCGAAGGCAAUGUUCUGGCUCGUUUCUGACGCUCAGGUGCGAAAGCCAGGGGAGCGAACGGG
rnacentral:rRNA from 1 species